rnacentral:snRNA from 1 species
GCCCCGUGUAAACUUUAGAGGUAAGAUGCAGAAUAAAAUCAGUUGUAAUCAGUUUAAUACCUGGGACGGAAACGAUUCGUUUCCUCUAUGUAUUAAUCGGAUUUUUGAACUUGGAGUAUGGUGCUGGAGCUUGCUCCACCCCUGCUCACGGGUUGUCCUGGUAUUGCAGUACCUCCAGGUUCGGCUCACGUUUC